AGAAUCCCUGUCUUCUAGAUGAGGAAAGCAAGAUACAAGCUCACCAGCACGUGUGAGGUACAGCCAGUGCUGGAACCCAGGAGCACUCAUGAGAGAAAAGCAACUAACAUCAGAGUCUGUGCCAUUGUUCAGCUAUGGAACCAAGAAUUUAAAUUAAAUUCAUUGAGCUCUGCCUGCGCACCACCAGCCCCAGCCAGGAAGACAUGGUGA
rnacentral:lncRNA from 1 species